rnacentral:rRNA from 1 species
UACAGAGGUCUCAAGCGUUGUUCGGAUUCAUUGGGCGUAAAGGGUGCGUAGGCGGCGCGGUAAGUCGGGUGUGAAAUCUCGGAGCUUAACUUCGAAACUGCAUUCGAUACUGCCGUGCUUGAGGACUGGAGAGGAGACUGGAAUUUACGGUGUAGCGGUGAAAUGCGUAGAUAUCGUAAGGAAGACCAGUGGCGAAGGCGGGUCUCUGGACAGUUCCUGACGCUGAAGCACGAAGGCCAGGGGAGCAAACGGG